UCCCUGGCAGUCCAGUGGUUAGGACUCAGCACAUCCACUGCUGUGGCCCAGGUUCAAUCCCUGGUUGGGGAA